CUUCUCUCAUCCCUUCUCGAGCCCCUUCGGCAUAACUAAUUUCAAUACUUGCAACACACGCACACGCAGACCAAUCCGCACGUACGCACACGCACGCGUUAUACGCAGCAGUGCGUUGAUAUGGUCAGCUGUGUGCGGACCGCGGUGUUGAAGGUACGCCGCUGUGAAAUAUCAGGAAAUGCGCCCUAGGCACAACGCGACGUUUAUCGACAGGGACACCCUACGGCAUCGAAAUGUUCGCGUACGGUUUCGAGAUCACAUAGGCAUGUAAUACAUUAUAAUCAAAUGUGCGGCGUGUGCCUUGUGUAAUUUCACGGUGAAAAUCUGGCGUAAACGGUGCCGCGGUGGGUCAGGGAUCAUGGCGUCGGUCUCGGCCGAGACACCAGCCAGCCAUGGGCACAGCUUCAGUAAGAAAACGUUUCACAAACCCACCUACUGUCAUCACUGCACGGACAUGCUCUGGGGCCUCUUACAGCAGGGGUACACCUGCGAAGUCUGCAACUUCGUGGUGCACGACCGCUGUCUCAAGACCGUCGUCUCUCCCUGCUCCAGCAUCGCGGCAAGCCUGAUCAAGAACCCGGUUGCACAUUGUUGGUCCGAACAAGCGCACCACAAAAGAAAAUUCUGCAAUGUAUGUCGUAAACGCCUCGAGGAUAGCCCAUCGAUUCACUGUGAGAUAUGCGAGUACUAUGUGCACACGGAUUGCCAGGAUUUUGCGGUUGCCGAUUGCAAGGAGAACGCGACUUACCUGCCGGGGAAGGAUUUAGCUUCGGUGCGUCACACCCAUCAUUGGCGGGAAGGGAAUCUUCCGAGCAAUUCGAAAUGCGUGGUAUGCAAGAAGACUUGCUGGUCGGCAGAAUGUCUUUCCGGAUAUCGGUGCGAGUGGUGUGGCAUGACGUCCCAUGCCUACUGCCACAAGAACAUACCGCCGGAAUGCACCUUUGGAAAUUUGGAGCCAAUUUACCUGCCUCCACAUGCAAUCAGUAUACCUCGCACCGAAGUCCCUAUGGAGGCGAUCAUUGGGGUCCAGGUGCGUCGCAAGGAAGUUCUCGCGCGUGAGUAUUCUUGCCAUUACACUGGAGAGCAAUUCGAUUUCGCUGAGAGUGAACAAAUUGGGGGCGAAGGCCACCUUGCCGCAGCUUUGAGGCGCCUUUCACUAGUUUUGCAUCGUAGCUGCCAUGGAAAUUGUCAUGCUUCCCCUCCUUAUGUUCGAGCACGUAAUAUUUCAGAGGAAUUCAGCAGCGGAGACGCUCGGAAUCGAGACAAUGAUGAACCGGCACAGCAAAGCGGUGCUCACAGCCGGGAUUCCAGGCCCCAGAAAGAGAAGGACGACAGAGACGAAGAGAUGAUCAAAGUUUACGAUGGCAAUAUUUCUGCGAGGCGUCGGAUAUUUCGAGUUAUCAACGUGCCUCGUCAAGCCAGUAUCGACCAGGUCCUCACUAUAGCUCUAAGAGCAUUCCACAUAACGAAAGAUCUGAAAAACUUUUACCUAACUGACUUGUACGCCGCCGACGAAGCUCGUUUAUGCGAUCCAACACCGAUUAAUAACUUACAGCGGAAGGAAGGCAAGCGUCCGGCUGUCUUUCUGCGUUUUAAGGACAACGAGUGUGGCGAAGUACGAGUCUAUCCAGGUAAACUUCAGGUGUCCGAAGCAUUCUGCAACGUCCCCGUUGACGAAGGAAGUACCGUAGCUGAUCUUAUCCGUGAGGCCCUUCUUCGGUUUGGACUUGAAAAUUUCAAAUGCGAGGAAUAUCGCUGUAGUGAGAUUUUACUGGACCGCGGUGUAGUUACGGAACGAGUACUAUCCUGGAACGAGAAACCCUGGGACAUCGUAAAGCUGCUUGGAAAGGACUCGAUCCGUCAAAUGGAAUUGAUGAGAUUUUACCUUCAGUUAAAACAAGACCCUCACGGGCCGAAUCUCGCGUUAUUUGUCGGCAAUCUUCCACCCAAUCUUUCAGAGCGUAAUUAUGAGAAUAUGUUGACGGAGUUCUUGGGCAAAGAAAACAAAUUCUCAUCCAUUGGCCCAAUUUAUUACGAGUAUGGAUCAAUGGUGAUUAUAUACGAGGAUUCAAACAAGGCUGUAAAGGCAUUGUACACAUUACGUGAAUCAAAAUACGAAGACAAACACCUUUUAGUAAUGCUUCUGCCCAGUAUCGAGCCGAGUAUGGUACCACCUGGUGUUCAGCCUCUACUUGUAUUCGUGAAUGUCAAGUCCGGCGGAUGUCAGGGUCUGGAAUUAAUUUCCAGUUUUCGAAAGCUUUUGAAUCCGUACCAAGUGUUCGAUCUGGAUAACGGAGGCCCACUUCCUGGACUGUACGUUUUUCGGCAUAUAAGAAAUUACAAGAUUCUUGUGUGUGGAGGGGAUGGAACAAUUGGCUGGGUAUUGCAAUGUCUUGACAACGUUGGCCAGGAUAGUGAGUGUUCUUCUCCGGCUUGCGCAAUUGUUCCUUUGGGAACUGGCAACGAUUUGGCAAGAGUUUUGCGCUGGGGUUCCGGUUACACGGGUGGAGAAGAUCCGCUAAGUUUAUUGCGGGACAUCAUCGAUGCCGAGGAAAUAAAGUUGGAUCGAUGGACGGUGGUUUUCCACCCUGAAGACAAAGAGGACAAAUCUCAGCAAGUUCCCAAUGCCGCAGUUGCUGGUUCGACGAGCGAAGAUAAUACCCAAAUAUAUGUGAUGAACAAUUAUUUUGGCAUUGGAAUCGACGCGGAUCUAUGUUUGGCCUUUCACAAUGCGAGGGAAGAAAAUCCAAACAAGUUCAAUAGUCGAUUCCACAACAAGGGAGUAUACGUUAGAAUGGGAUUGCGCAAGAUGGUCGGUCAGAAGCUCUGUAAAGACUUGCACAAGCAAAUACGGUUAGAAGUCGAUGGAAAAUUAGUAGAAUUACCGCAGGUCGAGGGCAUCAUUAUACUGAAUAUUUUGAGUUGGGGCUCUGGCGCUAAUCCGUGGGGUCCGGAGAAAGAGGAUCAGUUCAACAAACCAAAUCAUUGGGACGGGGUGUUGGAAGUAGUCGGAGUCACAGGUGUGGUACACCUAGGACAAAUACAGUCUGGUCUUCGCUCCGCUAUGAGAAUAGCUCAAGGUGGACAUAUAAAAAUUCAUCUACACUCAGACUUGCCAGUUCAGGUAGACGGAGAACCCUGGGUUCAGAGUCCAGGCGAUGUUGUAGUCCUGAAGUCUGCGUUGAAGGCAACCAUGUUGAAGAAAAAUAAGAUCAAGCGUCGGAAUACCGAACCGUCGAUUCUACCUGCUAAUGGGGAGGGGGGCAAGAGCACGGACGAGUAAAUCAACCAUUCUGCAGCUUGCAACUAGUCAGUUGUUUGAUCAUUCGUUGUAAGGUGCGCGAUCCCUACCUAGACUCCUCCGUGCGUAUAUAAAAUAUAUAUGUAUACAUAGUAUAUAUAUAUAUAUAUAUAAUUAUGUGGUUGAAGGACUGCGAAAGUUUCAACGAAACAGUAAUUAAUAAAGUAGAAGGGACUCACUUGAACUGUGCUGCGACGCUCGGGUGGUCGAAUGACAUGCUUUCGAUGAAUGUUGUACAUUGAAAGCUGAUAAAAAUUGGGAAACGAAAAUGAGGGGGAAGAAAAAAUUAAAGCAGAGAGAAGAGAAGAAAAAAAAAAAUUAAAGUAAAAGAAAAAUCGAACGACAUCCAGAAUCUAGUCCGUGUUAUUGAAGCGCUUGUAGGAACGCGCUCUUUGCAUCUAGUCAACUAAUCCCGUAGACUCGAAUCCCUUCUGGAUGUCUUGAAAUAUAAAUGAAAGGAAAGAAAGGGAGGAAAAAAAUGCGACUAAAAGAAAAAAAAAAAAAAAAAAAAAAACCAUACCUUUUAAAAAAAAAGGAAAAAAAAAAUUCUCAUUGAAAACUAAUUACUAAAACGUGAAAAAUUUAAAGGGAGACCCUCAUAUCCGGAUGAUGAACGGCCUCCCUUCCCUAAUCUGCCGAAUAUGGGGCUCAAUUGUUCAUGCAUCGUGUCCGGGCUGGAGCAUGAAUGAUACAUGGCCGGCAGAUUGGCGAAAAUGCAUUUGUUAAUUGGAUGAAAAACUGUAAUGAUUAAAUAUUUCAUUUUCGUUGCAAAACAGAAUAAAAUU